GACGAACGCUGGCGGCGUGCUUAACACAUGCAAGUCGAACGGAAAGGCCCUGCUUUUGUGGGGUGCUCGAGUGGCGAACGGGUGAGUAACACGUGAGUAACCUGCCCUUGACUUUGGGAUAACUUCAGGAAACUGGGGCUAAUACCGGAUAUGAGCUCCUGCUGCAUGGUGGGGGUUGGAAAGUUUCGGCGGUUGGGGAUGGACUCGCGGCUUAUCAGCUUGUUGGUGGGGUAGUGGCUUACCAAGGCUUUGACGGGUAGCCGGCCGGAGAGGGUGACCGGCGACAUUGGGACGGAGAUACGGCCCAGACUCCGACGGGAGGCAGCAGUGGGGAAUAUUGCACAAUGGGCGGAAGCCUGAUGCAGCAACGCCGCGUGCGGGAUGACGGCCUUCGGGUUGUAAACCGCUUGCGCCUGUGACGAAGCGUGAGUGACGGUAAUGGGUAAAGAAGCACCGGCUAACUACGUG
rnacentral:rRNA from 1 species